rnacentral:misc_RNA from 1 species
GAUGAAGAACGUAGCAAAAUGCGAUAAUUAAUGUGAAUUGCAGAAUUCCGUGAAUCAUCGAGUCUUUGAACGCACAUUGCGCCUCAUGGCAUUCCGUGAGGCAUGCCCAUCUCAGCGUUAGAAAAUAUUCUCAAAUUUUAGUUUUGUGCUAAAAUUUGGAUCAUGUCAAGGAAGCUAUUACUAUUAUUGUGAUCGCUCUUUGGAAAUUGAUAGGUCUUUGAGUUGCUACUCAUAGAACGUGAUGAAUCUUUCUUCGUUCUAUUGUAAUUCACUCUGGUAGUCCUAAAACUUGUAUGCCUGUGGCAUAUCUUGUAAUUUGACCUGAGAUUGGGUAGAGAUACCCGCUGAACUUAAGCAUAUCAAUAAGCGGAGGA